GGCCUGAUGGUCUAGUAGUAUGAUUCGCCCUUAGGGACUUGUGUCCGUCUGGGCGAGGUCCCGGGUUCAAUUCCCGGUUAGGCCC